rnacentral:rRNA from 1 species
CAGUGAAAUUGAACUCGCUGUGAAGAUGCAGUGUACCCGCGGCAAGACGGAAAGACCCCGUGAACCUUUACUAUAGCUUGACACUGAACAUUGAGCCUUGAUGUGUAGGAUAGGUGGGAGGCUUUGAAGUGUGGACGCCAGUCUGCAUGGAGCCGACCUUGAAAUACCACCCUUUAAUGUUUGAUGUUCUAACGUGGACCCGUAAUCCGGGUUGCGGACAGUGUCUGGUGGGUAGUUUGACUGGGGCGGUCUCCUCCUAAAGAGUAACGGAGGAGCACGAAGGUUGGCUAAUCCUGGUCGGACAUCAGGAGGUUAGUGCAAUGGCAUAAGCCAGCUUGACUGCGAGCGUGACGGCGCGAGCAGGUGCGAAAGCAGGUCAUAGUGAUCCGGUGGUUCUGAAUGGAAGGGCCAUCGCUCAACGGAUAAAAGGUACUCCGGGGAUAACAGGCUGAUACCGCCCAAGAGUUCAUAUCGACGGCGGUGUUUGGCACCUCGAUGUCGGCUCAUCACAUCCUGGGGCUGAAGUAGGUCCCAAGGGUAUGGCUGUUCGCCAUUUAAAGUGGUACGCGAGCUGGGUUUAGAACGUCGUGAGACAGUUCGGUCCCUA